ACUUAACCCUGUGAUGAUACAUCAACAUGCCAAAUAGCUAAGGCCUAGUUCUAAAGACGAUCAAAAAUAUGGCCAUUAUGUACUUUUUGAAUAGAUUUUGCUCUUAUUUAAUGAACCAAUUUGAGGGUGGGGCGUAAUUUAAACUUAAAUACCAAAAAAUCUAACGGUUAAAUUUUUAAAUAAUUUUGCAAGAACAACCGACUAGUAUAGCACUCCAAAUGCUUAGUUUUAUGAAAAAAUUAAACGAC
rnacentral:lncRNA from 1 species